GGUUAUGGGGCUAGGGUAAGGUUUAAGGUUUUUGGCGUAAGGGUUAAAAUCACUGUCCAAAACCUUUUAAGGAACAAGAUUCAGACCUUUUGGAGUUGGUUACACCAAAAAAAAUGUAAAAUGAAAAAAAAUAUAUUUGGGGUGUUCGGGCUUCCUGAAGGUAAUACCCGGGUAUUAGGUUAUGGGGCUAUGGUAAGGUUUAAGGUUUUUGGCGUUAGGGUUAAAAUCACUGUCCAAAACCUUUGUAGGAACUCUUUUCCAACCUUAUGGAGUUCAGUUAGACCAAAAAAAAAAGAAAAAUGAAAAAAAUAUAUAUUUGGGGUGUUCGGGCUUCCUGAAGGUAAUACCCGGGUAUUAGGUUAUGGGGCUUAGGAAAUGUUUAAGGUUUUUGGCGUUAGGGUUAAAAUCACUGUCCAAAAACCUUUGUAGGAACUCUUUUCCAACCUUUUGGAGUUAGGUUGACCAAAAAAAAAGAAAAAAGAAAAAAAAAUAUUUGGGGUGUUCGGGCUUCCUGAAGGUAAUACCCGGGUAUCAGGUUAUGGGGCUAUGGUAAGGUUUAAGGUUUUUGGCGUUAGGGUUAAAAUCACUGUCCAAAACCUUUGUAGGAACUCUUUUCCAACCUUAUGGAGUUCGUUAGACCAAAAAAAAAAGAAAAAUGAAAAAAAAUAUUUGGGGUGUUCGGGCUUCCUGAAGGUAAUACCCGGGUAUUAGGUUAUGGGGCUUAGGAAAUGUUUAAGGUUUUUGGCGUUAGGGUUAAAAUCACUGUCCAAAAACCUUUGUAGGAACUCUUUUCCAACCUUUUGGAGUUAGGUUGACCAAAAAAAAAAAGAAAAAAGAAAAAAAAAAUAUUUGGGGUGUUCGGGCUUCCUGAAGGUAAUACCCGGGUAUUAGGUUUUGGUGCUAGGGUAAGGUUUGAGGUUUUUGGCAUUAGGGUUAAAAUCACUGUCCAAAACCUUUUUAGGAACACCUUUCAGACCUUUUGGAGUUUGUACACCAAAAAAAAAAUGUAAAAUGAAAAAAGAAAAUUUGGGGUGUUCGGGCUUCCUGAAGGUAAUACCCGGGUAUCAGGUUAUGGGGCUAUGGUAAGGUUUAAGGUUUUUGGCGUUAGGGUUAAAAUCACUGUCCAAAACCUUUGUAGGAACUCUUUUCCAAACUUUUGGAGUCAGUUAGACCAAAAAAAAUGAAAAAUGAAAUAAAAAAUAUUUGGGGUGUUCGGGCUUCCUGAAGGUAAUACCCGGGUAUCGGGUUAUGGGGCUAUGGUAAGGUUUAAGGUUUUUGGCGUUACGGUUAAAAUCACUGUCCAAAACCUUUGUAGGAACUGUUUCUAAACUUUUGGAGUCAGUUAGACCCAAAAAAAAGAGAAAUGAAAAAAAAAUAUUUGGGGUUUUCAGGCUUCCUGGAGGUAAUACCCUAAUAUUAGGUUUUGGGGCUAGGGUAAGGUUUGAGGUUUUUGGCGUUAGGGUUAAAAUCACUGUCCAAAACCUUUUUAGGAACAUGUUUCAGACCUUUUGGAGUUGGUUACAUACAAAAAAAAUGUAAAAUGAAAAAAAAUAUAUUUGGGGUGUUCGGGCUUCCUGAAGGUAAUACCCGGGUAUUAGGUUAUGGGGCUAUGGUAAGGUUUAAGGUUUUUGACGUUAGGGUGAAAAUAACUUUCCAAAACCUUUGUAGGAACUCUUUUCCAACCUUAUGGAGUUCGUUAGACCAAAAAAAAAAGAAAAAUGAAAAAAAAAUAUUUGGGGUGUUCGGGCUUCCUGAAGGUAAUACCCGGGUAUUAGGUUAUGGGGCUUAGGAAAUGUUUAAGGUUUUUGGCGUUAGGGUUAAAAUCACUGUCCAAAAACCUUUGUAGGAACUCUUUUCCAACCUUUUGGAGUUAGGUUGACCAAAAAAAAAAAAGAAAAAAGAAAAAAAAUAUUUGGGGUGUUCGGGCUUCCUGAAGGUAAUACCCGGGUAUUAGGUUUUGGUGCUAGGGUAAGGUUUGAGGUUUUUGGCAUUAGGGUUAAAAUCACUGUCCAAAACCUUUUUAGGAACACCUUUCAGACCUUUUGGAGUUUGUACACCAAAAAAAAAAUGUAAAAUGAAAAAAAAAUAUUUGGGGUGUUCGGGCUUCCUGAAGGUAAUACCCGGGUAUCAGGUUAUGGGGCUAUGGUAAGGUUUAAGGUUUUUGGCGUUAGGGUUAAAAUCACUGUCCAAAACCUUUGUAGGAACUCUUUUCCAAACACGGAGUCAGUUAGACCAAAAAAAAAUGAAAAAUGAAAUAAAAAAUAUUUGGGGUGUUCAGGCUUCCUGAAGGUAAUACCCGGGUAUUAGGUUAUGGGGCUUAGGAAAUGUUUAAGGUUUUUGGCGUUAGGGUUAAAAUCACUGUCCAAAAACCUUUGUAGGAACUCUUUUCCAACCUUUUGGAGUUAGGUUGACCAAAAAAAAAAAAGAAAAAAGAAAAAAAAUAUUUGGGGUGUUCGGGCUUCCUGAAGGUAAUACCCGGGUAUUAGGUUUUGGGGCUAUGGUAAGGUUUAAGGUUUUUGGCAUUAGGGUUAAAAUCACUGUCCAAAACCUUUUUAGGAACACGUUUCAGACCUUUUGGAGUUUGUACACCAAAAAAAAAAUGUAAAAUUAAAAAAAAAUAUUUGGGGUGUUCGGGCUUCCUGAAGGUAAUACCCGGGUAUUAGGUUAUGGGGCUAUGGUAAGGUUUAAGGUUUUUGGCGUUACGGUUAAAAUCACUGUCCAAAACCUUUGUAGGAACUGUUUCUAAACUUUUGGAGUCAGUUAGACCCAAAAAAAAGAGAAAAAAAAAAAAUAUUUGGGGUUUUCAGGCUUCCUGGAGGUAAUACCCUAAUAUUAGGUUUUGGGGCUAGGGUAAGGUUUGAGGUUUUUGGCGUUAGGGUUAAAAUCACUGUCCAAAACCUUUUUAGGAACAUGUUUCAGACCUUUUGGAGUUGGUUACAUACAAAAAAAAUGUAAAAUGAAAAAAAAAUAUUUGGGGUGUUCGGGCUUCCUGAAGGUAAUACCCGGGUAUUAGGUUAUGGGGCUAUGGUAAGGUUUAAGGUUUUUGACGUUAGGGUGAAAAUAACUUUCCAAAACCUUUGUAGGAACUCUUUUCCAACCUUAUGGAGUUCGUUAGACCAAAAAAAAAGAAAAAUGAAAAAAAAAUAUUUGGGGUGUUCGGGCUUCCUGAAGGUAAUACCCGGGUAUUAGGUUAUGGGGCUUAGGAAAUGUUUAAGGUUUUUGGCGUUAGGGUUAAAAUCACUGUCCAAAAACCUUUGUAGGAACUCUUUUCCAACCUUUUGGAGUUAGGUUGACCAAAAAAAAAAAGAAAAAAGAAAAAAAAUAUUUGGGGUGUUCGGGCUUCCUGAAGGUAAUACCCGGGUAUUAGGUUUUGGGGCUAGGGUAAGGUUUGAGGUUUUUGGCAUCAGGGUUAAAAUCACUGUCCAAAACCUUUUUAGGAACACCUUUCAGACCUUUUGGAGUUUGUACACCAAAAAAAAAAUGUAAAAUGAAAAAAAAAAAUUUGGGGUGUUCGGGCUUCCUGAAGGUAAUACCCGGGUAUUAGGUUAUGGGGCUAUGGUAAGGUUUAAGGUUUUUGACGUUAGGGUGAACAUAACUUUCCAAAACCUUAGGAACUCUUUGACUUUCAACCUUAUGGAGUUCGUUAGACCAAAAAAAAAAGAAAAAUGAAAAAAAAAUAUUUGGGGUGUUCGGGCUUCCUGAAGGUAAUACCCGGGUAUUAGGUUAUGGGGCUUAGGAAAUGUUUAAGGUUUUUGGCGUUAGGGUUAAAAUCACUGUCCAAAAACCUUUGUAGGAACUCUUUUCCAACCUUUUGGAGUUAGGUUGACCAAAAAAAAAAAGAAAAAAGAAAAAAAAAUAUUUGGGGUGUUCGGGCUUCCUGAAGGUAAUACCCGGGUAUUAGGUUUUGGGGCUAGGGUAAGGUUUGAGGUUUUUGGCAUUAGGGUUAAAAUCACUGUCCAAAACCUUUUAGGAACACCUUUCAGACCUUUUGGAGUUUGUACACCAAAAAAAAAAUGUAAAAUGAAAAAAAAAUAUUUGGGGUGUUCGGGCUUCCUGAAGGUAAUACCCGGGUAUUAGGUUAUGGGGCUAUGGUAAGGUUUAAGGUUUUUGGCGUUAGGGUUAAAAUCACUGUCCAAAACCUUUGUAGGAACUCUUUUCCAAACUUUUGGAGUCAGUUAGACCAAAAAAAAAUGAAAAAUGAAAUCAAAAAUAUUUGGGGUGUUCAGGCUUCCUGAAGGUAAUACCCGGGUAUUAGGUUAUGGGGCUUAGGAAAGGUUUAAGGUUUUUGGCGUUAGGGUUAAAAUCACUGUCCAAAAACCUUUGUAGGAACUCUUUUCCAACCUUUUGGAGUUAGGUUGACCAAAAAAAAAAAAGAAAAAAGAAAAAAAAUGUAUUUGGGGUGUUCGGGCUUCCUGAAGGUAAUACCCGGGUAUUAAGUUAGGGGGCUUUGGAAAGUUUUAGGGUUUUUGGCAUCAGGGUUAAAAUCACUGUCCAAAAACCUUUGUAGGAACUCUUUUCCAACCUUUUGGAGUUAGUUAGACCAAAAAAAAAAGAAAAAAUGAAAAAAAAAAAAUUGGGGUGUUCGGGCUUCCUGAAGGUAAUACCCGGGUAUUAAGUUAUGGGGCUUUGGAAAGUUUUAGGGUUUUUGGCAUCAGGGUUAAAAUCACUGUCCAAAAACCUUUGUAGGAACUCUUUUCCAACCUUUUGGAGUUAGUUAGACCAAAAAAAAAAGAAAAAAUGAAAAAAAAAAAUUUGGGGUGUUCGGGCUUCCUGAAGGUAAUACCCGGGUAUUAGGUUUUGGGGCUAGGGUAAGGUUUGAGGUUUUUGGCGUUAGGGUUAAAAUCACUGUCCAAAACCUUUUUAGGAACAUGUUUCAGACCUUUUGGAGUUGGUUACAUACAAAAAAAAUGUAAAAUGAAAAAAAAAAUAUUUGGGGUGUUCGGGCUUCCUGAAGGUAAUACCCGGGUAUUAGGUUAUGGGGCUAUGGUAAGGUUUAAGGUUUUUGACGUUAGGGUUAAAAUCACUGUCCAAAACCUUUGUAGGAACUCUUUUCCAACCUUAUGGAGUUCGUUAGACCAAAAAAAAAAGAAAAAUGAAAAAAAAAUAUUUGGGGUGUUCGGGCUUCCUGAAGGUAAUACCCGGGUAUUAGGUUAUGGGGCUUAGGAAAUGUUUAAGGUUUUUGGCGUUAGGGUUAAAAUCACUGUCCAAAACCUUUGUAGGAACUCUUUUCCAACCUUUUGGAGUUAGGUUGACCAAAAAAAAAAAGAAAAAAGAAAAAAAAAUAUUUGGGGUGUUCGGGCUUCCUGAAGGUAAUAAUACCCGGGUAUUAGGUUAUGGGGCUAUGGUAAGGUUUAAGGUUUUUGACGUUAGGGUGAAAAUAACUUUCCAAAACCUUUGUAGGAACUCUUUUCCAACCUUAUGGAGUUCGUUAGACCAAAAAAAAAAGAAAAAUGAAAAAAAAAUAUUUGGGGUGUUCGGGCUUCCUGAAGGUAAUACCCGGGUAUUAGGUUAUGGGGCUUAGGAAAUGUUUAAGGUUUUUGGCGUUAGGGUUAAAAUCACUGUCCAAAAACCUUUGUAGGAACUCUUUUCCAACCUUUUGGAGUUAGGUUGACCAAAAAAAAAAAGAAAAAAGAAAAAAAAAUAUUUGGGGUGUUCGGGCUUCCUGAAGGUAAUACCCGGGUAUUAGGUUUUGGUGCUAGGGUAAGGUUUGAGGUUUUUGGCAUCAGGGUUAAAAUCACUGUCCAAAACCUUUUUAGGAACACCUUUCAGACCUUUUGGAGUUUGUACACCAAAAAAAAAUGUAAAAUGAAAAAAAAAUAUUUGGGGUGUUCGGGCUUCCUGAAGGUAAUACCCGGGUAUCAGGUUAUGGGGCUAUGGUAAGGUUUAAGGUUUUUGACGUUAGGGUGAAAAUAACUUUCCAAAACCUUUGUAGGAACUCUUUUCCAACCUUUUGGAGUUCGUUAGACCAAAAAAAAAAGAAAAAUGAAAAAAAAAUAUUUGGGGUGUUCGGGCUUCCUGAAGGUAAUACCCGGGUAUUAGGUUAUGGGGCUUAGGAAAGGUUUAAGGUUUUUGGCGUUAGGGUUAAAAUCACUGUCCAAAACCUUUGUAGGAACUCUUUUCCAACCUUUUGGAGUUAGGUUGACCAAAAAAAAAAAAGAAAAAAGAAAAAAAAAUAUUUGGGGUGUUCGGGCUUCCUGAAGGUAAUACCCGGGUAUUAGGUUUUGGGGCUAGGGUAAGGUUUGAGGUUUUUGGCAUUAGGGUUAAAAUCACUGUCCAAAACCUUUUUAGGAACACCUUUCAGACCUUUUGGAGUUUGUACACCAAAAAAAAAAUGUAAAAUGAAAAAAAAAUAUUUGGGGUGUUCGGGCUUCCUGAAGGUAAUACCCGGGUAUCAGGUUAUGGGGCUAUGGUAAGGUUUAAGGUUUUUGGCGUUAGGGUUAAAAUCACUGUCCAAAACCUUUGUAGGAACUCUUUUCCAAACUUUUGGAGUCAGUUAGACCAAAAAAAAAAUGAAAAAUGAAAUAAAAAAUAUUUGGGGUGUUCGGGCUUCCUGAAGGUAAUACCCGGGUAUUAGGUUAUGGGGCUUAGGAAAUGUUUAAGGUUUUUGGCGUUAGGGUUAAAAUCACUGUCCAAAAACCUUUGUAGGAACUCUUUUCCAACCUUUUGGAGUUAGGUUGACCAAAAAAAAAAAAGAAAAAAGAAAAAAAAUGUAUUUGGGGUGUUCGGGCUUCCUGAAGGUAAUACCCGGGUAUUAGGUUUUGGGGCUAGGGUAAGGUUUGAGGUUUUUGGCGUUAGGGUUAAAAUCACUGUCCAAAACCUUUGUAGGAACUCUUUUCCAACCUUUUGGAGUUAGUUAGACCAAAAAAAAAAGAAAAAAUGAAAAAAAAAAAUUUGGGGUGUUCGGGCUUCCUGAAGGUAAUACCCGGGUAUUAGGUUAUGGGGCUAGGGUAAGGUUUAAGGUUUUUGGCGUUAGGGUUAAAAUCACUGUCCAAAACCUUUUUAGGAACAUGUUUCAGACCUUUGGUAAAAAAAGUUGUUACACAAAAAAAAUGUAAAAUGAAAAAAAAAUAUUUGGGGUGUUCGGGCUUCCUGAAGGUAAUACCCGGGUAUUAGGUUAUGGGGCUAUGGUAAGGUUUAAGGUUUUUGGCGUUAGGGUUAAAAUCACUGUCCAAAACCUUUGUAGGAACUCUUUUCCAACCUUAUGGAGUUCGUUAGACCAAAAAAAAAAGAAAAAUGAAAAAAAAAUAUUUGGGGUGUUCGGGCUUCCUGAAGGUAAUACCCGGGUAUUAGGUUAUGGGGCUUAGGGAAAUGUUUAAGGUUUUUGGCGUUAGGGUUAAAAUCACUGUCCAAAAACCUUUGUAGGAACUCUUUUCCAACCUUUUGGAGUUAGGUUGACCAAAAAAAAAAAAAAAAAAAGAAAAAAAAAUAUUUGGGGUGUUCGGGCUUCCUGAAGGUAAUACCCGGGUAUUAGGUUAUGGGGCUAUGGUAAGGUUUAAGGUUUUUGACGUCAGGGUGAAAAUAACUUUCCAAAACCUUUGUAGGAACUCUUUUCCAACCUUAUGGAGUUCGUUAGACCAAAAAAAAAAGAAAAAUGAAAAAAAAAUAUUUGGGGUGUUCGGGCUUCCUGAAGGUAAUACCCGGGUAUUAGGUUAUGGGGCUUAGGAAAGGUUUAAGGUUUUUGGCGUUAGGGUUAAAAUCACUGUCCAAAAACCUUUGUAGGAACUCUUUUCCAACCUUUUGGAGUUAGGUAGACCAAAAAAAAAAAAAAAAAAAAAAAAAAAUAUUUGGGGUGUUCGGGCUUCCUGAAGGUAAUACCCGGGUAUUAGGUUUUGGGGCUAGGGUAAGGUUUGAGGUUUUUGGCAUUAGGGUUAAAAUCACUGUCCAAAACCUUUUUAGGAACACCUUUCAGACCUUUUGGAGUUUGUACACCAAAAAAAAAAUGUAAAAUGAAAAAAAAAUAUUUGGGGUGUUCGGGCUUCCUGAAGGUAAUACCCGGGUAUUAGGUUAUGGGGCUAUGGUAAGGUUUAAGGUUUUUGGCGUUAGGGUUAAAAUCACUGUCCAAAACCUUUGUAGGAACUCUUUUCCAACCUUAUGGAGUUCGUUAGACCAAAAAAAAAAAGAAAAAUGAAAAAAAAAAUAUUUGGGGUGUUCAGGCUUCCUGAAGGUAAUACCCGGGUAUUAGGUUAUGGGGCUUAGGAAAUGUUUAAGGUUUUUGGCGUUAGGGUUAAAAUCACUGUCCAAAAACCUUUGUAGGAACUCUUUUCCAACCUUUUGGAGUUAGGUUGACCAAAAAAAAAAGAAAAAAGAAAAAAAAAUAUUUGGGGUGUUCGGGCUUCCUGAAGGUAAUACCCGGGUAUUAGGUUUUGGUGCUAGGGUAAGGUUUGAGGUUUUUGGCAUUAGGGUUAAAAUCACUGUCCAAAACCUUUUUAGGAACACCUUUCAGACCUUUUGGAGUUUGUACACCAAAAAAAAAAUGUAAAAUGAAAAAAAAAUAUUUGGGGUGUUCGGGCUUCCUGAAGGUAAUACCCGGGUAUCAGGUUAUGGGGCUAUGGUAAGGUUUAAGGUUUUUGGCGUUAGGGUUAAAAUCACUGUCCAAAACCUUUGUAGGAACUCUUUUCCAAACUUUUGGAGUCAGUUAGACCAAAAAAAAAUGAAAAAUGAAAUAAAAAAUAUUUGGGGUGUUCAGGCUUCCUGAAGGUAAUACCCGGGUAUUAGGUUAUGGGGCUUAGGUAAGGUUUAAGGUUUUUGGCGUUAGGGUUAAAAUCACUGUCCAAAACCUUUGUAGGAACUCUUUUCCAACCUUUUGGAGUUAGGUUGACCAAAAAAAAAAAAGAAAAAAGAAAAAAAAUGUAUUUGGGGUGUUCGGGCUUCCUGAAGGUAAUACCCGGGUAUUAGGUUUUGGGGCUAGGGUAAGGUUUGAGGUUUUUGGCGUUAGGGUUAAAAUCACUGUCCAAAACCUUUGUAGGAACUCUUUUCCAACCUUUUGGAGUUAGUUAGACCAAAAAAAAAAGAAAAAAUGAAAAAAAAAAAUUUGGGGUGUUCGGGCUUCCUGAAGGUAAUACCCGGGUAUUAGGUUUUGGGGCUAGGGUAAGGUUUGAGGUUUUUGGCGUUAGGGUUAAAAUCACUGUCCAAAACCUUUUUAGGAACAUGUUUCAGACCUUUUGGAGUUGGUUACAUACAAAAAAAAUGUAAAAUGAAAAAAAAAAUAUUUGGGGUGUUCGGGCUUCCUGAAGGUAAUACCCGGGUAUUAGGUUAUGGGGCUAUGGUAAGGUUUAAGGUUUUUGACGUUAGGGUUGAAAAUCACUGUCCAAAACCUUUGUAGGAACUCUUUUCCAACCUUAUGGAGUUCGUUAGACCAAAAAAAAAAUGAAAAAUGAAAAAAAAAUAUUUGGGGUGUUCGGGCUUCCUGAAGGUAAUACCCGGGUAUUAGGUUAUGGGGCUUAGGAAAUGUUUAAGGUUUUUGGCGUUAGGGUUAAAAUCACUGUCCAAAAACCUUUGUAGGAACUCUUUUCCAACCUUUUGGAGUUAGGUUGACCAAAAAAAAAAAGAAAAAAGAAAAAAAAAUAUUUGGGGUGUUCGGGCUUCCUGAAGGUAAUACCCGGGUAUUAGGUUAUGGGGCUAUGGUAAGGUUUAAGGUUUUUGACGUUAGGGUGAAAAUAACUUUCCAAAACCUUUGUAGGAACUCUUUUCCAACCUUAUGGAGUUCGUUAGACCAAAAAAAAAAGAAAAAUGAAAAAAAAAUAUUUGGGGUGUUCGGGCUUCCUGAAGGUAAUACCCGGGUAUUAGGUUAUGGGGCUUAGGAAAUGUUUAAGGUUUUUGGCGUUAGGGUUAAAAUCACUGUCCAAAAACCUUUGUAGGAACUCUUUUCCAACCUUUUGGAGUUAGGUUGACCAAAAAAAAAAAGAAAAAAGAAAAAAAAAUAUUUGGGGUGUUCGGGCUUCCUGAAGGUAAUACCCGGGUAUUAGGUUUUGGUGCUAGGGUAAGGUUUGAGGUUUUUGGCAUUAGGGUUAAAAUCACUGUCCAAAACCUUUUUAGGAACACCUUUCAGACCUUUUGGAGUUUGUACACCAAAAAAAAAAUGUAAAAUGAAAAAAAAAAAUUUGGGGUGUUCGGGCUUCCUGAAGGUAAUACCCGGGUAUCAGGUUAUGGGGCUAUGGUAAGGUUUAAGGUUUUUGGCGUUAGGGUUAAAAUCACUGUCCAAAACCUUUGUAGGAACUCUUUUCCAAACUUUUUGAGUCAGUUAGACCAAAAAAAAAAUGAAAAAUGAAAAAAAAAUAUUUGGGGUGUUCAGGCUUCCUGAAGGUAAUACCCGGGUAUUAGGUUAUGGGGCUUAGGAAAUGUUUAAGGUUUUUGGCGUUAGGGUUAAAAUCACUGUCCAAAAACCUUUGUAGGAACUCUUUUCCAACCUUUUGGAGUUAGGUUGACCAAAAAAAAAAAAGAAAAAAGAAAAAAAAUGUAUUUGGGGUGUUCGGGCUUCCUGAAGGUAAUACCCGGGUAUUAAGUUAUGGGGCUUUGGAAAGUUUUAGGGUUUUUGGCAUCAGGGUUAAAAUCACUGUCCAAAAACCUUUGUAGGAACUCUUUUCCAACCUUUUGGAGUUAGUUAGACCAAAAAAAAAAGAAAAAAAUGAAAAAAAAAAAUUUGGGGUGUUCGGGCUUCCUGAAGGUAAUACCCGGGUAUUAGGUUUUGGGGCUAGGGUAAGGUUUGAGGUUUUUGGCGUUAGGGUUAAAAUCACUGUCCAAAACCUUUUUAGGAACAUGUUUCAGACCUUUUGGAGUUGGUUACAUACAAAAAAAAUGUAAAAUGAAAAAAAAAAUAUUUGGGGUGUUCGGGCUUCCUGAAGGUAAUACCCGGGUAUUAGGUUAUGGGGCUAUGGUAAGGUUUAAGGUUUUUGGCGUUAGGGUUAAAAUCACUGUCCAAAACCUUUGUAGGAACUCUUUUCCAACCUUAUGGAGUUCGUUAGACCAAAAAAAAAAAGAAAAAUGAAAAAAAAAUAUUUGGGGUGUUCGGGCUUCCUGAAGGUAAUACCCGGGUAUUAGGUUAUGGGGCUUAGGAAAUGUUUAAGGUUUUUGGCGUUAGGGUUAAAAUCACUGUCCAAAAACCUUUGUAGGAACUCUUUUCCAACCUUUUGGAGUUAGGUUGACCAAAAAAAAAAAAAGAAAAAAGAAAAAAAAAUAUUUGGGGUGUUCGGGCUUCCUGAAGGUAAUACCCGGGUAUUAGGUUUUGGGGCUAGGGUAAGGUUUAAGGUUUUUGGCAUUAGGGUUAAAAUCACUGUCCAAAACCUUUUUAGGAACACCUUUCAGACCUUUUGGAGUUUGUACACCGAAAAAAAAAUGUAAAAUUAAAAAAAAAUAUUUGGGGUGUUCGGGCUUCCUGAAGGUAAUACCCGGGUAUUAGGUUAUGGGGCUUAGGAAAUGUUUAAGGUUUUUGGCGUUAGGGUUAAAAUCACUGUCCAAAAACCUUUGUAGGAACUCUUUUCCAACCUUUUGGAGUUAGGUUGACCAAAAAAAAAAAGAAAAAAGAAAAAAAAAUAUUUGGGGUGUUCGGGCUUCCUGAAGGUAAUACCCGGGUAUUAGGUUAUGGGGCUAUGGUAAGGUUUAAGGUUUUUGACGUUAGGGUGAAAAUAACUUUCCAAAACCUUUGUAGGAACUCUUUUCCAACCUUAUGGAGUUCGUUAGACCAAAAAAAAAAAGAAAAAUGAAAAAAAAAUAUUUGGGGUGUUCGGGCUUCCUGAAGGUAAUACCCGGGUAUUAGGUUAUGGGGCUUAGGAAAGGUUUAAGGUUUUUGGCGUUAGGGUUAAAAUCACUGUCCAAAAACCUUUGUAGGAACUCUUUUCCAACCUUUUGGAGUUAGGUUGACCAAAAAAAAAAAGAAAAAAGAAAAAAAAAUAUUUGGGGUGUUCGGGCUUCCUGAAGGUAAUACCCGGGUAUUAGGUUUUGGUGCUAGGGUAAGGUUUGAGGUUUUUGGCAUUAGGGUUAAAAUCACUGUCCAAAACCUUUUUAGGAACACCUUUCAGACCUUUUGGAGUUUGUACACCAAAAAAAAAAUGUAAAAUGAAAAAAAAAAAUUUGGGGUGUUCGGGCUUCCUGAAGGUAAUACCCGGGUAUCAGGUUAUGGGGCUAUGGUAAGGUUUAAGGUUUUUGACGUUAGGGUGAACAUAACUUUCCAAAACCUUUGUAGGAACUCUUUCCCAACCUUAUGGAGUUCGUUAGACCAAAAAAAAAAGAAAAAUGAAAAAAAAAUAUUUGGGGUGUUCAGGCUUCCUGAAGGUAAUACCCGGGUAUUAGGUUAUGGGGCUUAGGAAAUGUUUAAGGUUUUUGGCGUUAGGGUUAAAAUCACUGUCCAAAAACCUUUGUAGGAACUCUUUUCCAACCUUUUGGAGUUAGGUUGACCAAAAAAAAAAAGAAAAAAGAAAAAAAAAUAUUUGGGGUGUUCGGGCUUCCUGAAGGUAAUACCCGGGUAUUAGGUUUUGGUGCUAGGGUAAGGUUUGAGGUUUUUGGCAUUAGGGUUAAAAUCACUGUCCAAAACCUUUUUAGGAACACCUUUCAGACCUUUUGGAGUUUGUACACCAAAAAAAAAAUGUAAAAUGAAAAAAAAAUAUUUGGGGUGUUCGGGCUUCCUGAAGGUAAUACUAUGGGGCUAUGGUAAGGUUUAAGGUUUUUGACGUUAGGGUGAAAAUAACUUUCCAAAACCUUUGUAGGAACUCUUUUCCAACCUUAUGGAGUUCGUUAGACCAAAAAAAAAAGAAAAAUGAAAAAAAAAUAUUUGGGGUGUUCGGGCUUCCUGAAGGUAAUACCCGGGUAUUAGGUUAUGGGGCUUAGGAAAUGUUUAAGGUUUUUGGCGUUAGGGUUAAAAUCACUGUCCAAAAACCUUUGUAGGAACUCUUUUCCAACCUUUUGGAGUUAGGUUGACCAAAAAAAAAAAAGAAAAAAGAAAAAAAAAUAUUUGGGGUGUUCGGGCUUCCUGAAGGUAAUACCCGGGUAUUAGGUUUUGGUGCUAGGGUAAGGUUUGAGGUUUUUGGCAUCAGGGUUAAAAUCACUGUCCAAAACCUUUUUAGGAACACCUUUCAGACCUUUUGGAGUUUGUACACCAAAAAAAAAAUGUAAAAUGAAAAAAAAAUAUUUGGGGUGUUCGGGCUUCCUGAAGGUAAUACCCGGGUAUCAGGUUAUGGGGCUAUGGUAAGGUUUAAGGUUUUUGACGUUAGGGUUAAAAUAACUUUCCAAAACCUUUGUAGGAACUCUUUCCCAACCUUAUGGAUUUCGUUAGACCAAAAAAAAAGAAAAAUGAAAAAAAAAUAUUUGGGGUGUUCAGGCUUCCUGAAGGUAAUACCCGGGUAUUAGGUUAUGGGGCUUAGGAAAGGUUUAAGGUUUUUGGCGUUAGGGUUAAAAUCACUGUCCAAAACCUUUGUAGGAACUCUUUUCCAACCUUUUGGAGUUAGGUUGACCAAAAAAAAAAAGAAAAAAGAAAAAAAAAUAUUUGGGGUGUUCGGGCUUCCUGAAGGUAAUACCCGGGUAUUAGGUUAUGGGGCUAGGGUAAGGUUUGAGGUUUUUGGCGUUAGGGUUAAAAUCACUGUCCAAAACCUUUUUAGGAACACCUUUCAGACCUUUUGGAGUUUGUACACCAAAAAAAAAAUGUAAAAUGAAAAAAAAAUAUUUGGGGUGUUCGGGCUUCCUGAAGGUAAUACCCGGGUAUCAGGUUAUGGGGCUAUGGUAAGGUUUAAGGUUUUUGGCGUUAGGGUUAAAAUCACUGUCCAAAACCUUUGUAGGAACUCUUUUCCAAACUUUUUGAGUCAGUUAGACCAAAAAAAAAUGAAAAAUGAAAUAAAAAAUAUUUGGGGUGUUCAGGCUUCCUGAAGGUAAUACCCGGGUAUUAGGUUAUGGGGCUUAGGAAAUGUUUAAGGUUUUUGGCGUUAGGGUUAAAAUCACUGUCCAAAAACCUUUGUAGGAACUCUUUUCCAACCUUUUGGAGUUAGGUUGACCAAAAAAAAAAAAGAAAAAAGAAAAAAAAUGUAUUUGGGGUGUUCGGGCUUCCUGAAGGUAAUACCCGGGUAUUAAGUUAUGGGGCUUUGGAAAGUUUUAGGGUUUUUGGCAUCAGGGUUAAAAUCACUGUCCAAAAACCUUUGUAGGAACUCUUUUCCAACCUUUUGGAGUUAGUUAGACCAAAAAAAAAAGAAAAAAUGAAAAAAAAAAAUUUGGGGUGUUCGGGCUUCCUGAAGGUAAUACCCGGGUAUUAGGUUUUGGGGCUAGGGUAAGGUUUGAGGUUUUUGGCGUUAGGGUUAAAAUCACUGUCCAAAACCUUUUUAGGAACAUGUUUCAGACCUUUUGGAGUUGGUUACAUACAAAAAAAAUGUAAAAUGAAAAAAAAAACAUUUGGGGUGUUCGGGCUUCCUGAAGGUAAUACUCGGGUAUUAGGUUAUGGGGCUAUGGUAAGGUUUAAGGUUUUUGGCGUUAGGGUUAAAAUCACUGUCCAAAACCUUUGUAGGAACUCUUUUCCAACCUUAUGGAGUUCGUUAGACCAAAAAAAAAAGAAAAAUGAAAAAAAAAUAUUUGGGGUGUUCGGGCUUCCUGAAGGUAAUACCCGGGUAUUAGGUUAUGGGGCUUAGGAAAUGUUUAAGGUUUUUGACGUUAGGGUGAAAAUAACUUUCCAAAACCUUUGUAGGAACUCUUUUCCAACCUUAUGGAGUUCGUUAGACCAAAAAAAAAAGGAAAAUGAAAAAAAAAUAUUUGGGGUGUUCGGGCUUCCUGAAGGUAAUACCCGUUUAUUUGGUUAUGGGGCUAUGGUAAGGUUUAAGGUUUUUGGCGUUACGGUUAAAAUCACUGUCCAAAACCUUUGUAGGAACUGUUUCUAAACUUUUGGAGUCAGUUAGACCCAAAAAAAAAGAGAAAUGAAAAAAAAAUAUUUGGGGUGUUCGGGCUUCCUGGAGGUAAUACCCUAAUAUUAGGUUUUGGGGCUAGGGUAAGGUUUGAGGUUUUUGGCGUUAGGGUUAAAAUCACUGUCCAAAACCUUUUUAGGAACAUGUUUCAGACCUUUUGGAGUUGGUUACAUACAAAAAAAAUGUAAAAUGAAAAAAAAAAUAUUUGGGGUGUUCGGGGUUCCUGAAGGUAAUACCCGGGUAUUAGGUUAUUGGGCUAUGGUAAGGUUUAAGGUUUUUGACGUUAGGGUGAAAAUAACUUUCCAAAACCUUUGUAGGAACUCUUUUCCAACCUUAUGGAGUUCGUUAGACCAAAAAAAAAAGGAAAAUGAAAAAAAAAUAUUUGGGGUGUUCGGGCUUCCUGAAGGUAAUACCCGUUUAUUUGGUUAUGGGGCUUAGGAAAUGUUUAAGGUUUUUGGCGUUAGGGUUAAAAUCACUGUCCAAAAACCUUUGUAGGAACUCUUUUCCAACCUUUUGGAGUUAGGUUGACCAAAAAAAAAAAGAAAAAAGAAAAAAAAAUAUUUGGGGUGUUCGGGCUUCCUGAAGGUAAUACCCGGGUAUUAGGUUUUGGUGCUAGGGUAAGGUUUGAGGUUUUUGGCAUUAGGGUUAAAAUCACUGUCCAAAACCUUUUUAGGAACACCUUUCAGACCUUUUGGAGUUUGUACACCAAAAAAAAAAUGUAAAAUGAAAAAAAAAAAUUUGGGGUGUUCGGGCUUCCUGAAGGUAAUACCCGGGUAUCAGGUUAUGGGGCUAUGGUAAGGUUUAAGGUUUUUUACGUUAGGGUGAACAUAACUUUCCAAAACCUUUGUAGGAACUCUUUUCCAACCUUAUGGAGUUCGUUAGACCAAAAAAAAAUGAAAAAUGAAAUAAAAAAUAUUUGGGGUGUUCAGGCUUCCUGAAGGUAAUACCCGGGUAUUAGGUUAUGGGGCUUAGGGAAAUGUUUAAGGUUUUUGGCGUUAGGGUUAAAAUCACUGUCCAAAAACCUUUGUAGGAACUCUUUUCCAACCUUUUGGAGUUAGGUUGACCAAAAAAAAAAAGAAAAAAGAAAAAAAAAUAUUUGGGGUGUUCGGGCUUCCUGAAGGUAAUACCCGGGUAUUAGGUUUUGGUGCUAGGGUAAGGUUUAAGGUUUUUGGCAUUAGGGUGAAAAUAACUUUCCAAAACCUUUGUAGGAACACCUUUCAGACCUUUUGGAGUUUGUACACCGAAAAAAAAAUGUAAAAAGAAAAAAAGAAAAAAAAUAUUUGGGGUGUUUGGGCUUCCUGAAGGUAAUACCCGGGUAUUAGGUUUUGGGGCUAGGGUAAGGUUUGAGGUUUUUGGCAUUAGGGUUAAAAUCACUGUCCAAAACCUUUUUAGGAACACGUUUCAGACCUUUUGGAGUUUGUACACCGAAAAAAAAUGUAAAAUUAAAAAAAAAUAUUUGGGGUGUUCGGGCUUCCUGAAGGUAAUACCCGGGUAUCAGGUUAUGGGGCUAUGGUAAGGUUUAAGGUUUUUGGCGUUACGGUUAAAAUCACUGUCCAAAACCUUUGUAGGAACUGUUUCUAAACUUUUGGAGUCAGUUAGACCCAAAAAAAAGAGAAAUGAAAAAAAAAUAUUUGGGGUUUUCAGGCUUCCUGGAGGUAAUACCCUAAUAUUAGGUUUUGGGGCUAGGGUAAGGUUUGAGGUUUUUGGCGUUAGGGUUAAAAUCACUGUCCAAAACCUUUUUAGGAACAUGUUUCAGACCUUUUGGAGUUGGUUACAUACAAAAAAAAUGUAAAAUGAAAAAAAAAAUAUUUGGGGUGUUUGGGCUUCCUGAAGGUAAUACCCAUUUUGCAAAUAAUUUUUUCAGCGACUUCAGAAUAUCGAAUUUUUUACCAGGCCCGGUCGUCCUGCCAAAUUUCAUGAGUUUUCGCCAGUGGGAAGUGGGCCAUUUUCCCCUUCAAAGGGGAGGAAAAAUAAGAAAAAGAAAGAAAGAAAGAAAGACUAGGGCCCCGUUGGGGCACUGGCGGGCCCGAGCCGUGUCGCGCACCCCCCCCCCCAACGCGAUCGCCUCCCCGUCCCAUUCGCGUCCUCUGGCCAUCGCCCUCUCUUGUAACGCCCAUCACUGCAAAGACCCUUUUCCUUCAUCGGCGUUUGCUGUUCUUCCUGCCAUUGCGUGUUGCUUUCACUUACACUUGCCACAGCCAGCCUCAUGAGUGCCUGGCCUGGUUUGACCUUUGCUCACCAUGAUUGUGUGACCUUGGUAUCGGCUACUUGGGAAGUUCCACCGUCGUGGCAAAGCUUUGUUUGCGUAAUGUGCUCAACCACCUAUUUUCUAUGGAUGUGUAAGUAAACCACUUUCUUUUCUAACACAAUGACACACUCAUCUUUUAGGGAGAAAAAUUCCUUCACAAAUGUGUUGAUGGCUGGACAUUGAAUCAUCCUAGAAAACUUGGAGGCCAGUGAGGACAAAAAUAAAAAGUUAGAAGACUUUUAAACAUGUGGAUAUUUGGGUCAUCUUUGGCGCCCCCUAGAACGUAAACCGUGGGGUGCAGCAUCAUGAUUUGUACAACUUUGAAUGGCCAUGGGGUGUAGAUUGGCCUGAGCAAAUUUGGUGUCGGUGGGACGAAAGCCUUAGGAGGAGUUAGCCACAUUCCAAUGUGUGCGAAUCGGCAAAAAAUGCGAAAUAGCCCUUUAACCGUACAUUUUACAGAUACGUGCGCAUUGACUUUUUCGUAGAUCUUAUUGAGAUACACAUGAUUGUCAAAUUUUGUGUCAAUAUGACAAAGCAUACAGGCGUGACACUCAACAAUGUGUAUUUUUACCUUAGGGGUAAAGAAAAAAUGGACUUUUUUCUCCUGCCAUGGGGGGGGGGCGCUCUUUUAGGGAGUAAAAAUUCUUUCACACAUGUGUUGAUGGCUGGACAUUGCAUCAUCCUAGAAAACUUGGAGGCCAGUGAGGACAAAAAUAAAAAGUUAUAAGACUUUGAAGAAUGUGGAUUUUUGGGUCAUCUUUGGCGCCCCCUAGAAUGUAAACCGUGGGGUGCAGCGUCAUGAUUUGUACAACUUUGAAUGGCCAUGGGGUAUAGAUUGGCCUGAGCAAAUUUGAUGCCGGUGGAACGAAAGCCUUCGGAGGAGUUAGCAAAAUUCCAAUUUGUGCGGAUCGGCAAAAAAUGCGAAAAAGCCCUUUUAUUGUACAUUUGACAGAUACGCGCGCAUUGAGUUUUUCGUAGAUCUUAUAGAGAUACACGUGAUUGUCAAAUUUUGUGUCAAUAUGACAAAGCGUACAGGCAUGACACUCAACAAUGUGUAUUUUCACCUCAUGGGACAAGAAAAAAUUGACUUUUUUCUCCUGCCAUGGAGGGGCGCUCUUUUGGGGAGAAAAAAUUCCUUCAAAAUUAUGUUGAUGGCUGGACAUUGCAUCAUCCUAGAAAACUUGGAGGCCAGUGAGGACUAAAAUAAAAAGUUAUAAGACUUUUAAGAAUGUGGAUUUUUGGGUUAUUUUUGGCGCCCCCUAGAACCUAAACCGUGGGGUGCAGCGUCAUGAUUUGUACAACUUUGAAUGGCCAUGGGGUGUAGAUUGGCCUGAGCAAAUUUGGUGCCGGUGGAACGAAAGCCUUCGGAGGAGUUAGCGAAAUUCCAAUGUGUGCGGAUCAGCAAAAAAUACAAAAUAGCCCUUUAACCGUACAUUUGACAGGUACGCCCACACUGACUUUUUUGUAGAUCUUAUUGAGAUACACGUGUGUGUCAAUUUUUGUGUCAAUAUGACAAAGCGUACAAAUGUGACACUCUAUAGUGUGAAUUUUCACCUUAGGGGGCGCUAUGGAGCCAUUUCGCAUUUUAUUGUUUGGGUGACUUCAGAUUAUCAAAUUUUUUACCAGGCCCGGUCUUCCUGCCAAAUUUCAUGAGUUUUCGACGGUGGGAAGUGGGCCAUUUUCCCCUUCAAAGGGGAGGAAAAAUAAGAAAGAAAGAAACAAAGAAGAAUCCAUCAGGAAUAAUAGGGCUCUCGCAGCUGCUUAGCAGCUACGCUCGGGCCCUAAAGAAAGAAGAACCCAUACAGGAAUAAUAGGGCUCUACGCCCGGCUGCUCUGCAGCUGGCUUGGGCCCUAAAGAAUGAAGAAAGAAAAACCCCAUCAAUGACAAGAGGGCCUACGCCCACUAGUGGGCUCGGGCCCUAACUAGGGCCCCGUUGGGGCACUGGCGGGCCCGAGCCCUGUUGCGCCGCCCCCAACGCGAACGCAUCCCCCUCCCGAUCGCAUCACACUCAAGGUCCAAAGAUGGUGAGCGCACCUGUCUGUGGUCAUUUACCAUUAUAAUGAACGGAAGGUGCAGUUUCUAUCAAAUGCUCGCUGCAGACAAACUACAUGUCCUAUUUGAAAAAAGUCCGGACCAUGAGUGAGGGGACAAACACAGCUAGGAUAUAUCCAAAUGGCAAGUUGCUCCUCCUUUCGGUUUUAGCGGGAGAGCAAUACGUUUGAGCCAUUGAGCGAUGGGCAGGAAAAACUUGACUUUUUCUCCUGCCAUGGGGGGUAAGGAAAAUGACCAAUUUUUUUUUAUCAAACAUUAUAAAAACUGGUUAUCUCUUGCAGGGCAUCAAAGUCUUGAAUAUGUGAGAGAUAAGUAAUAUGAUUGACUUUGAGGCCUUUUAACUUUUUCUGUAGCAUCAGAUUUAAUAGAAAGCUCCCUUUGGCGCCCCUCAGUGGCCAUAACUACCUUGUCUGCUGUUAAUAGACAACUCCCUUUGGCGCCACUCAGUGGCCAAAAGUUCUUUGUCUGCUGUAAAAUCAAAUUGGAUUCAUAUUUUUUCCAGAUUUUUCUUUUUUACAUCUCUUAUUUUACUUCUGCCCUGUUCAAAACUAGCAAAUGUUUCAUUGAAAAUAUUUUUUUAACCCUUUAAGAGCCCAUUCAAGACAUAAAGUCACUAAUAUAGCAAAAAUUUGAGCCUUUUAGCUUUUUCUGUAGCAUCAGAUUUAAUAAACGAAUCCCUUUGGCGCCUCUCAGUGGCCAUGACUACUUUGUCUGCUGUUAAUAGAAAACUCCCUUUGGCGCCACUCAGUGGCCAAAACUACUUUGUCUGCUGUAAUGUAUAUUUGGGUCAUCUUUGGCGCCCCCUAGAACGUAAACCGUGGGGUGCAGCAUCAUGAUUUUGAACUUUGAAUGGCCAUGGGUUGUAGAUUGGCCUGAGCAAAUUUGGUGUCGGUGGGACGAAAGCCUUAGGAGGAGUUAGCAACAUUCCAAUGUGUGCGAAUCGGCAAAAAAUGCGAAAUAGCCCUUUAACCGUACAAUUGACAGAUACGCGCGCAUUGA